UUAUCUACGGUUAUAGCUCUAACUGCUUGUACGCUGCCGUAAUUGUAGUACGCCGAAAUAGGAUGCAAUUGAAACUGAAGUUUUGGGGGUUAUUGAGACACCACGAAAUCCACCCACACCUAAGGAAUGUCGUGUUUGUUUACAUGAGCAGUUUAACAUAAUGGCGUUGUGAUGGCGCUACAAGUCUAACAAAUGCUGUAAAGGAGGUCGUAUUUAUUACAUCAUAGAUAAUAGUAUUACAUUUUGCUUAGAUGUUGUGUACAUUAGAGCUCGUGUGAGAUUUUUAUUUGUUUGAGAAGUUAUUAUUGUUGUAAUAAUGUUUUGUUGUUGUGUUCCAAGUUGUUCAGAGCGAUCUGAAAAGGGUACACGACUAUUUUUACUACCACAGGGUAAAGAAAAUGAAGAAAGACAAAAAAAGUGGAUCAUUAACAUUAAACGUGAUGGGCAACUACCUGCAUUUACUUAUGUCUGUGAGAAGCAUUUCAAAUAUUACCAUUGAUUGUAGGAGUUCUCUUCUCCAGAAAGUAGCAGUAUCCCAAGAAAUUGUAAAAGCGCUUUUUUCCGCAAUAAAGACAUUACUUGUUAAUUUGUGGAAAUGAAUUAUCAACACUACGGUACACUACACAGAAUUUAAUACAGUCAAGAGUACAAAGAAUAAAAACUCGGGAUGCCAUGUAUUAUGCGACAUUGGUUCCUCAUUCACUCCAGAUAGUAGAAGUAGCUGAAGUCCUGAGGAGAGCGUGAAGGUGCCUUUUUUACAUUUGGAACAGAAACAGUGUGUUAUUGCUAAAGGAAAGAUUUAUGAAACUAUGAGACGGAUUGAUUGGUUAACAAAUGGGGGAGAUUGGAAAGUUAAUUUUAACCCUAACGAUGACUACAUGGGAUGUCUGCAUGGGUAUCCUUUCUGAAUUUGGUUUUCAUUCCACACAUGUAAA